GGUUGCCUAAACCAGCAUUUGGUCGUUUAAAGCUAAUUUUUUAUUAUAAAAAUUAACAAAACGUAUAAAAAAUGUUGUAUGAAGGUUAGACGCUUUGCAUCCUUACUUGACUAAUAAAAUAAGUCACUAUUUCCUCCUUUUCUUUGUGCAAAUGAGCCUGUCAUGGUUUAAUAAUACGUUUAUUUUUUAUGUUCAUAGCAACAAUUUUCACUGUUGUAUUAAAAUGCUUGAAUUUCCGGUUCCACUACAAUGAAAAUAGUUCGGCACUUUUAUUUUUGUGGUUAUAUUUCUCAUAUUUUAAGUAAACCGAAAUUUAAUUGAAAAAUUAACACCCAGUAGAGAAUUUUAAAUUCAAAUGAUCGCAUGGUGGAAGGUAGAACAAUCAGAGUUGCCAACGUGGUACAAAAAAAUUUUCACCAAUCUAAAAACAAACCAAAAUUUUCCCUCACCCUAACCCUAAACAAUAAUAUUAAUAAUGCCGAAUGAAAUCGCUAGUUUUUGAAUUUAGUUUAUUUGAUGUGAGUUCAGAAUUUGCUUAAAUGCUGGAAUAACUGAUUGAAAAAAAGAUUGAGGUUACGUCUGAACUUUCCAACCAAUAAACCGAAAUGAGUUCCGAACAGACGUCUCCUCCAAAAGCGGACGAAAAAAAGAAAAUGGAUCCGGGCUGGAAUGACCCCCCAAUGUUAAAUUAUAGUGCCACAAACCCUCCCCCAAAAUCGCGUAUUACUAACAAAAGAAUUGCGUUUCCUAUAAGUGGACCAUCUAGUAGCGCUCCCCCAACCACUAGUCAAUCGGCACCUCCGCCAUGUCCUCCAAAAGAUUAGCCGGUUAUUGUAUUUAUUAAAUUGUUUGAUGACUUUUCUCGUUCCGUUACUUAACGUUUGUAUGCUUGUGUAAUGAGGUGAUAGAAAAUAAAACUAUUUUGAGUAAUAA